rnacentral:lncRNA from 1 species
UGUCUUUAUCUCCCCCCGCAAGACAAAUGACACUUUCCGAUUCUCCAUUCCUACUUCUCCAGCGCAAAAAUAAAGAGGUUUCCGAAUAAUUUCACCGUUAGUAAAAUCCCGAGCGUUCGCUAAACGGAGAAUAACGGUUCCAGGAAAGUUAAGAUCAAGGGAAAAGGAAAAGUUUUCUUGAUAGAUGAUGAAUCUGAGACGCAAAGGAGCUGAGAUAGCUCCAGGGGAGAAGAAACACAAUUGAAGAGAGCAUAUCAUUAUGAAGUGCCAAGCCUGGCUGUCCCUGGCAGAAAUGCAACAGAGACUAGGGAGUGAGAGAGACAGGCAAGCAAAAGCUGUAGCAGAUGGUCAGGAGAAGCCCACGGAAGACUCUGCUAGUGAUGGCUCCCUAUUCAGAUCCAAGGGCUGGCGCGGGAGGUAUCAGUGGAGAUAGGAGCACGCCAUCCUCAGCCUCACAGGUUGCUUCGGUUUGAAUUUCAACGAGGGGAGCCUGCCAAGAUCAGGCAGUAAAAUACGGACUGGAUCAUAAAUCCCAGCAGGGGUGGGAGAGCGUAAGACAGAUUGCUAACACCUUUAAAAAGAAAUUUUAAACAAAAAAGGUAGGAAUUUGCUUUAAAGUAUACCAGGCCCAGGAGGGACUGGGAGAGACAAGCCGUCUGAACGUGGGAGCUGGUUUGCCUCCCCAAUAGCACUUCUCUGAGGACUCCAACCCAUAGAAAGUUCUUCUGGCAGGCGAAGCAGGCCCCAUGGGCUCUUCAUCCAAAGCCAGCGAUGUUUCUCUGGGAUGUGUCUUGGAGAUAAGGCAGAAAUACUCUCAAAUGAGCACCUUCCAAAAAGUCGAGUCUUUCUGCAUCCUUCCCUCUGGAGUGACCGCUCAUGCCGCUCAUCAAAGUCUCCUUUCAUCAGCGCCAGGCCACGGGAAAUAAACGCAACUGGGAGCAAGGAGCUUGAAGCUGUAAGAAGAAAGCCAUGUGUUUCCUUCCUAAGACUAAAAUGAUUUCCCUACGAGGAAUAAAGAGCUUUUACAAACUUUCUGCAUGGAUACGUCUUGGAGGGGCGCACGCUGAUUUCUCUCACACCCGCACUGUGCACCAAGUGGAGAAACAGAAGCCCUUAUUUGCUUGGUUUUGUAACAGGUUCACUAUAUUUGAGCAUAGACAGAAAAGUAGACGGCCUUAUAACAGAGCUUAUUAUUACCCCGAUUUGGAUAAACCACAGGUCACAUCACGUCGGCUGAAACAUAACCG